UGAGAAGUAAUGUCCAUUUUCGCAGUUCAGAGCAUCUUUCUGGCUGGUCCCUGAGCACUCCUUUGUUUCUAAGCUGCUCAUCCAGCAAGUUAUUGUCAGAUGACUUGCCUUCUGCAGACAGAAAGUGAAACUGGUAGGAGUUUUUCAGUUCAGUUGCUAAAAACCUGCCAGGAGGUGCAGUUGGUGUCAGUUCCUCUCCAUUCAUUUUUGGAGAUGGUAAGGAGGAGCUAUGAGGAUCACUCUCAUUCAAGACAGAUUCUUUAG
rnacentral:lncRNA from 1 species